rnacentral:lncRNA from 1 species
UUUCCUCAAAAUUUUUUUUUCCUCAUUUUUUUUUCCUCAAAUUUUUUUUUUCCUCAAAAAGUUUUUUUUCAUUUCCUUAUUCGUUUUCUUUUUCCUUUUUCGAUUAUCAUCCUUAUUCGAUUUCCAUUUCCUUAUUCGAUUUUCAUUUCCUUAUUCGAUUUUCUUUUCCCUAUUCGGUUUCUUCUUCUUCCUUUCAAUAUUCAUUUCCUUUUUCGGUUUCUAUUUCCUUAUUCGGUUUCUAUUUCCUUAUUGGAUUUUCAUUUCCUUAUUCGAUUUCCAUUUCCUUAUUCAAUUUUCAUUUCCUUAUUCGGUUUCUUUUUUUCCUUUUCAAUAUUCAUUUCCUUAUUCGGUUUCUAUUUCCUUAUUCAGUUUCUAUUUCCUUAUUGGAUUUUCAUUUCCUUAUUCGAUUUCCAUUUCCUUAUUCGAUUUUCAUUUCCUUAUUCGGUUUCUUUUUCCUUUUUCAAUAUUCAUUUCCUUUUUCGGUUUCUAUUUCCUUAUUCGGUUUCUAUUUCCU